GACGAACGCUGGCGGCGUGCUUAACACAUGCAAGUCGAACGGAAAGGCCCUGCUUUUGUGGGGUGCUCGAGUGGCGAACGGGUGAGUAACACGUGAGUAACCUGCCCUUGACUUUGGGAUAACUUCAGGAAACUGGGGCUAAUACCGGAUAUGAUCUCCUGCUGCAUGGUGGGGGUUGGAAAGUUUCGGCGGUUGGGGCUGGACUCGCGGCUUAUCAGCUUGUUGGUGGGGUAGUGGCUUACCAAGGCUUUGACGGGUAGCCGGCCUGAGAGGGUGACCGGCGACAAUGGGACUGAGAUACGGCCCAGACGGCUACGGGAGGCAGCAGUGGGGAAUAUUGCACAAUGGGCGGAAGCCUGAUGCAGCAACGCCGCGUGCGGGAUGACGGCCUUCGGGUUGUAAACAACUUUCGACUGUGACGAAGAGUGAGUGACGGUAAUGGGUAAAGAAGCACCGGCUAACUACGUG
rnacentral:rRNA from 1 species